GACGAACGCUGGCGGCGUGCCUAAUACAUGCAAGUUGAGCGCUGAAGGUUGGUACUUGUACCAACUGGAUGAGCAGCGAACGGGUGAGUAACGCGUGGGAAUCUGCCUUUGAUCGGGGGACAACAUUUGGAAACGAAUGCUAAUACCGCAUAAAAACUUUAAACACAAGUUUUAAGUUUGAAAGAUGCAAUUGCAUCACUCAAAGAUGAUCUCGCGUUGUAUUAGCUAGUUGGUGAGGUAAAGGCUCACCAAGGCGAUGAUACAUAGCCGACCUGAGAGGGUGAUCGGCCACAUUGGGACGGAGACACGGCCCAAAGGCAUACGGGAGGGAGCAGUAGGGAAACUUGGGCAAUGGACGGAAGUCUGACCGAGCAACGCCGCGUGAGUGAAGAAGGAUGUCGGAUCGUAAAACUCUGUUGGUAGAGAAGAACGUGGGUGAGAGUGGAAAGCUCAUCAAGUGACGGUAACUACCCAGAAAGGGACGGCUAACUACGUG
rnacentral:rRNA from 1 species